rnacentral:rRNA from 1 species
GUGUCAGCAGCCGCGGUAAGACGAACCUGACAAACGUUAUUCGGAAUUACUGGGCUUAAAGGGUGCGUAGGCGGCGCGACAAGUUGGGUGUGAAAUCCCUCGGCUCAACCGAGGAACUGCGCUCAAUACUGUCGUGCUCGAGGGAGACAGAGGUGAGCGGAACUUAGGGUGGAGCGGUGAAAUGCGUUGAUAUCCUAAGGAACACCGGUAGCGAAAGCGGCUCACUGGGUCUUUUCUGACGCUGAGGCACGAAAGCUAGGGUAGCGAACGGGAUUAGAUACCCCGGUAGUCCUAGCCUUAAACGAUGAGCACUUGAUUGGAGGGUCCUCCAUAGCCCUCCAGUCGUAGCGAAAGUGUUAAGUGCUCCGCCUGGGGAGUAUGGUCGCAAGGCUGAA